ensembl:lncRNA
GAGACAGAGAUGGAUUUCACCAGCUUACUUUGCCUCUGUGGAAAUGAGUUGCACCUUCCAGUCCAGGGUGAAAAACAAGUGUUUGAGAGAGCAGAAGAAGUGAUGAAACAGAGUCUAGAGAAGUUUCAUCUCUGUCUACACUGGGAUCAGAGAACUGUUCUCAGUGAAGCUCUCAGCAAGACCAUUUUAAAUUGUCUACCUAAUAUCAACAAACUCAGGUUUACCCCUCUACUACAUCAGAGAGGAUCCCCUGAAAGACUGGAGACAGACGACAAAGCAGUCCUACUAGAUUUGUGUCUACAAGCAGCACUAGAUCACAGAGAAACAAUCCAGAGAACUGUGAACACACUGCUGUCACUGUUCUCUGUGUAUCAAACUGAGAGAUAUGACAUCCUGCUGGAUCUGUACUCACAUGUGAAGGACUAUGAGACUCAAACAGGC